UACAGGGGGGGCAAGCGUUGUUCGGAAUUAUUGGGCGUAAAGAGCGCGCAGGCGGUAUGACAAGUCAGAUGUGAAAGAGGCCGGCUUAACCGGCAAGGGUCAUUUGAAACUGUCAGACUAGAGUGCAGCAGAGGAUAGUGGAAUUCCCGGUGUAGUGGUGAAAUGCGUAGAUAUCGGGAGGAACACCAGUGGCGAAGGCGACUAUCUGGGCUGCAACUGACGCUGAGGCGCGAAGGCUAGGGUAGCAAACAGG
rnacentral:rRNA from 1 species